GAAACCCCCUGCGUACGCAACUAGCCAUGUGUAAUAAUGAAAUGGUGUGUUUCAUUAUUUUUUUUGAUAGGUAAACAAAGAAAUUAAGAAUGGUGUGUUUCAUUAUUACACAACGCUAAUAUGAAAUGUGGCUUCAAUUCGACAGCUUCUUGUGCAAACUUCUUGGGUUGAAGACGAAGAGAACCACAAAGACGAAAGAUUGUGAAAAUGAGAGAUGUUCUUUUGUAAAAAAGCUGCAAAAGAAUGCACUGGUAGAGAAUAACAAGACAAAGACUCUUGAUGUGUCUCAAAAUGGCAGCAAAGUUAGUAAACCACAAGGUAAGAACAUAUCGAUGAUGAACAGAAUACUAAAAAGUAGUUGGAAGCAGAACAUAUCAAUACAAGCACUUUGGUUUGUGAUCAGAAAAAGCUUGUACAAGAGGAGGACAUUUCAUUAAGUGAUCUAGAGGAUGAUGAUAACAAUCUCUCUAAUAGACUAUCAGGUCUUAACUCAACUGGGAAACCAAGGUUUCUUCACUAGGUGGAUGCAAUGACUGGGUCCAACUGAAGGGAAGUCCCGAGUCUCAAGUUGGUGGUGGCCAGCAAAAGGUAGGCAAAUCAAAUUCUCGAGAUAACGACUCAGAAGGUGAAGAGUCAAAUAAUUGGCUUACUAUCAAUGAUUUCGAUUAAAGAGUUAGUUUUAUUCCUUAUUUAUUGUAAAGUUUAUAAUUUUUUUUUUCUUUGGGGGUCCGUGAUUAUGAACUCAAAUCAAUAUCAUAAGGUUGUUUGUUAAGUUGGUAAUCAAUUCUUCAUUUAUAAAAUAUUUAUUGUUAAAUGACCAUAUUUAGGGUGUUUAAACUUUGUGCAGUUGGGUUUACUCUAUACUUCAUUUGAACGAGUGAAAGAGUUAUUGAGAUUGUUCCAAAUUAGAAAUUAAACAUUGAUGUUGUCAA